AAUCGAUAAAUUUAAAUAUUCAUCGAUUGAUCAA
rnacentral:precursor_RNA from 1 species